rnacentral:lncRNA from 1 species
AAUGUGGAGAUACGUAUUUAUCACGUACGUACAUACAAUACAACAAUAAUUUUAAUUCAAUUAUUAAAUUUUACCAACUUUAUCCGAACUGCACUACUCUAGUAUUAAUUAAGUCACUACUUAGUUUCGACAGACCAAAAAUUAACGUAUUCAUCAGUAAUUACAAAUUUCUACUACUAAUUAAUGCUUAUGGUUUAAUUUACUCACGUUUCAAGUAACUAACGAUAAUGAUAAGGUUCCCUCAGAAAAAAAGAAAAAAAGAAAAAAAAAAGGAACAACAAUAUUAAGGGUUAAUUGAAUUUUAAUUAAUUGUAUUCCAGUUUACAGUACAAAAUCAAACAACGUGACAUC